CUCCCCACAGCGCACGUACCACUGUGGCCGCAGGAGAGGCUCCACCACGUCCUUGGACCGGCUGUGAGAACACACGGGUGGGAGAUCAAGAGGGGAAGAUGAAUGACCAAAGGGUGCCUCCUUCUCUCUCCAGAGGACAGCCCCCGGCUCACCUGUGCCAAACUCCAUGUCCACAAAAUCGUCAAAGACGAUGGGGAGGCUCUGAGACGAGAAUGGGUGAAUCACGCUCCUCCCCUUCAGGUGCUGGGGGCAGAGGGAGACAUCAAAAAUUCAAGAAGGCAAAAGCAAACAAUAAAUCAUUUCAAAGAUGA